rnacentral:rRNA from 1 species
UACGGAGGGUGCAAGCGUUAUCCGGAUUUACUGGGUUUAAAGGGUGCGCAGGCGGAUAUGUAAGUCAGUGGUGAAAUCUUCCCGCUUAACGGGAAAACUGCCGUUGAUACUAUAUAUCUUGAAUGCCGUGGAGGUAAGCGGAAUAUGUCAUGUAGCGGUGAAAUGCUUAGAGAUGACAUAGAACACCUAUUGCGAAGGCAGCUUACUACACGGAGAUUGACGCUCAUGCACGAAAGCGUGGGGAGCAAACAGG